UACGUAGGGUGCAAGCGUUUGUCCGGAAUUAUUGGGCGUAAAGAGCUCGUAGGUGGCCUGUCGCGUCGGCUGUGAAAACUCGGGGCUCAACUCCGAGCUUGCAGUCGAUACGGGCAGGCUAGAGUUCGGCAGGGGAGACUGGAAUUCCUGGUGUAGCGGUGAAAUGCGCAGAUAUCAGGAGGAACACCGAUGGCGAAGGCAGGUCUCUGGGCCGAUACUGACGCUGAGGAGCGAAAGCGUGGGGAGCGAACAGG
rnacentral:rRNA from 1 species